rnacentral:rRNA from 1 species
ACGCUGGCUACAGGCUUAACACAUGCAAGUCGAGGGGAAACGACGGGGAAGCUUGCUUCCCCGGGUGUCGACCGGCGCACGGGUGAGUAACGCGUAUCCAACCUGCCUCUGACUGAGGGAUAACCCGUCGAAAGUCGGCCUAAUACCUCAUGGCAUCGUCUGCGGGCAUCCAACGACGAUUAAAGAUUUCAUCGGUCAGGGAUGGGGAUGCGUCUGAUUAGCUAGUUGGCGGGGUAACGGCCCACCAAGGCGACGAUCAGUAGGGGUUCUGAGAGGAAGGUCCCCCACAUUGGAACUGAGACACGGUCCGAACUCCUACGGGAGGCAGCAGUGAGGAAUAUUGGUCAAUGGGCGAGAGCCUGAACCAGCCAAGUAGCGUGCAGGAAGACGGCCCUAUGGGUUGUAAACUGCUUUUAUGCGGGGAUAAAGUGCAGGACGUGUCCUUCAUUGCAGGUACCGCAUGAAUAAGGACCGGCUAAUUCCGUGCCAGCAGCCGCGGUAAUACGGAAGGUCCGGGCGUUAUCCGGAUUUAUUGGGUUUAAAGGGAGCGUAGGCCGUGGAUUAAGCGUGUUGUGAAAUGCAGGUGCUCAACGUCUGCACUGCAGCGCGAACUGGUCCACUUGAGUGUGCACAACGCAGGCGGAAUUCGUCGUGUAGCGGUGAAAUGCUUAGAUAUGACGAAGAACUCCGAUUGCGAAGGCAGCUUGCGGGAGCACAACUGACGCUGAAGCUCGAAAGUGCGGGUAUCGAACAGGAUUAGAUACCCUGGUAGUCCGCACGGUAAACGAUGGAUGCCCGUUGUCAGGCUGUUUCAGCCUGGUGACCAAGCGAAAGCAUUAAGCAUCCCACCUGGGGAGUACGCCGGCAACGGUGAAACUCAAAGGAAUUGACGGGGGCCCGCACAAGCGGA